rnacentral:pre_miRNA from 1 species
UUGAUUUGUUCUAAGUCAAACUUGUUUAAUUUUGAUCAAAUUUAUAAAAAAAUAUAACGACAACUAUACUACCAAACAUAUGCCCUGUCAAAACAUAUUUUAUGGUGGAUUCAAUAAAACAAAUUUGGUUUUGUAGAUGUUGUUAUAUUUUUGUAUAAGCUUGGUCAAAGUUGGAUAAUUUUGACUUAGAACAAACCAUA